rnacentral:rRNA from 1 species
AACGCGAAGAACCUUACCUGGGCUUGACAUGCUUGGAUUAUCCCUGUGAAAGCAGGGUAGGCCCUUCGGGGUACAACAAGUACAGGUGCUGCAUGGCUGUCGUCAGCUCGUGUCGUGAGAUGUCGGGUUAAGUCCCUUAACGAGCGAAACCUUUGCCCUUAGUUACCAUCGGGUUAUGCCGGGGACUCUAAGGGGACUGCCGGUGUCAAACCGGAGGAAGGUGGAGAUGACGUCAAGUCCUCAUGGCCUUUAUGCCCAGGGCCACACACGUGCUACAAUGGGGUGCAUAAAGCGAACCAAGAGCGCGAGCUGGAGGAAAUCGCAGAAAUCACUCCUCAGUUCAGAUUGGAGGCUGCAACCCGCCUCCAUGAAGAUGGAAUCGCUAGUAAUCGCGGAUCAGCUACGCCGCGGUGAAUGUGUUCCCGGGCCUUGUACACACCGCAUAC